AUUGAACGCUGGCGGGAUGCCUAACACAUGCACGUCGAGCGAUCGGCGGACGGGUGAGGAAUGUGAGGGAACCUGCCCGUUGGAGGCAGAUAACUACUGGAAACGGUAGCUAAUACCGCAUACCAUCAGAGGUGCCCAGAUGGGAUUAGCUCGUAGGUGGGGUAAUGGCUCACCUAGGCGACGAUCCCUAGCUGGUCGGCGAGGAUGACCAGCCAGACUGGGACUGAGACACGGACCAGCCUCCUACGGACGUCAGCGGGGGGGAAUAUUGCACAAUGGGGGAAAUCCUGUUUCAGCCAUGCCGCGUGUGCGAAGAAGGACUUCGGGGGGUAAAGUAGUAGCGGCAGGUAGGCGUUACUAGCAGAAGGAGCACCGGCUAACCCCGUGCCAGCAGCCGCGGUAAUAC
rnacentral:rRNA from 1 species